AAAGAUCUCUGGAGAUCAUUUAAUCCAGCUGUCCUGCUACAGCAGAUUCACCAGGUUGUACAAGAUUGCAUCCACAUGGUGUUUGAGAAUCUCUGCAAAAGAAGACUCUGCAGCCUCUCUGGGCAACCUGUUCCAGUGCUGUCACCUUCAGAGGAAAGAUUUUUUUCCUCAUUUUCAGAUGUAACUCCCUGUGUUUCUGUUUGUGCUCAUUGCCCCUUAUCCUGUCGCUGGUCAUCCCUGGAAAGCGUCUGGCCCCAGUCUCUGAACACCUGCCAUUUUAAUGUGUGCCUUGAUGAGAUCCCCUCUUCUUCAAUCAUCUCUUCUGAAGGCUGAACAGGCCCAGCUCCCUCAGCUUUUCCUCCUAAGAGAUGUGCUCCAGUCCCCUCAUCCUCUUUGUGAUAUGGUUAAACUCUCAUGUGUACUCUGAAAUGCCAGAUGAGAGAGAGAGAGAUCAAGCAUUUUCUUAAUGGAUGGUGGAGUCAGCAGGAAAGGGAGCUUGCCUUGGCCAAUGUGCUAAAGGAGGAGCGUGCACAACAACCCUCACCCUUACUGUAGGACAUCCAGCCUUGCAGGAUAGGACAGAAAAGCACCCUGUGCUGCAGCAACUCGCAUUAUCUGUUUCUCAUCAGCUGCAUGGAUUUCAAAAACACCAGUAAAAUAUUCUAAAACUUUGCACUUCCAGUUGGAAACGCCUGAUGAAAGAGCAGGCUUUGCAUGGUUCUUCCAACAUCUUUGUAUGUGAAGCUGAGGUCGGUUUAUCAAAUAAACUGAUGAAAAGUAAUGAUGUGGUUCACUUCUAAAAUUUGCAAUAAGAGCAGCAAGUAAUAUGACAGAGUGAAAGACAUGACGUUACUUUAGCCCAAGUAGUCUGUUUUGGUCUGAUGCAAAAUACGUUUCCUGAAUAAAGGACAAAAGAGGAAAAACAAGUUGCAGCUCUGUAAAAGCACCAAAAAUCAUGGCUUGUAUAUAUAUUUGA